GGAAUAUUCCACAAUGGGGGAAACCCUGAUGGAGCGACGCCGCGUGAGUGAAGAAGGGCUUCGGCUCGUAAAGCUCUUUUCUUCGGGACGAAUGGCUUAUUAGAUAAGCAGGGACGGUACCGGGGGAAUAAGCCACGGCUAACUACGUGCCAGCAGCCGCGGUAAUACGUAGGUGGCAAGCGUUGUCCGGAAUUAUUGGGCGUAAAGGGAGCGCAGGCGGGGCGGCAAGUCCAAAUUAAAAGUGCAGGAGUAAUGCCUGUGAUGGUUUGGAAACUGUCGUUCUUGAGAGCAGGAGAGGCAAGCGGAAUUCCCAGUGUAGCGGUGAAAUGCGUAGAUAUUGGGAGGAACACCAGUGGCGAAGGCGGCUUGCUGGACUGUGUCUGACGCUGAGGCUCGAAAGCCAGGGUAGCGAACG
rnacentral:rRNA from 1 species